rnacentral:lncRNA from 15 species
GGACAGUACAGGUGUGGUCUGGACAGACCUUUUUCACCAGACCCUUACCAGGAGUUUAGGAUCAUUGUCACAGAUGGUUCAACCACUUCUAAACCAAACUUGACUGUACCGGCUGUUUCAACAUCAGUCCCAUCAACCUUCACACCAACAACACAGCAGACAACAGCAACUACAGAUAUGUGGCUGUAUGUGGCACUGACUCUGGGUGUCCUGGUUGUGCUAUUAUCACUGGCUGUGUUGGUGUACUGCAGGAAUAAGUCUUCUAAACCCAAAGAUCCUCCUGUGGAAACAGAAUGCACCGUCACAGAAACCCACCGGGUGUACGAGGAUAUCAGAGAGGACAGACGGAGCAGAUCUCCUCCUGUGGAAAUAUCUCCAAUUUACACCAACGCCAAAUAUACCAAAACAAAUGGAGCUGAAACCAACAAUGAGUACAGCUGUGCCACAAUUGAAGACGACUCGAGUAACCUCAUCUACUCUGAGUUGAAUUUUUCCAACCGGACCGUUGACUCACCCAGCAGCGCCCUGCGUGGUGACAGUGAUAAUGUCGUGUACUCUGUGCCUCGGGUGUGA